rnacentral:lncRNA from 1 species
CCCAGCUGUCGGUUGUUGUGAUUAAUGGAGAGGUGUAAUUAGAGGCAGCAGAGAGUUGUGAUAGCAGCUUGUCAAAAUGCAGGAGCGCUGCCUAUAGCGGGAUUGAACGUUUUGCUCUUUUUUCUUAGAGGUUCCUCUCCAUCUUUUAAUCCUAAGAAUGAUUCCAAGGAAUUUAAAGCUGGGAAAUCCAGAAGAUCUGCUGUAGGCUUUCUUCCCUCUGGAGAAAACAUCAAUGCUGACCCAGACAGCCUCCUUCUACACAAAAGCAGAGGAAACUGAAGUGGGCCUGGACAGUCAAGAGAGGAGUUUUGUCUGGGAAACUGCUUUGGAAAUGUUGAACUGCUCAGCUGCUGCUCAAGAGGUGCCAGAAGGACAGAAGAAACUGUGAUGUCCCUUGCUCCCUUCGGGUUGCCAGGGAGAGAUGGGAUGUAGCUGGGGGCUGGCUGGUGACUGUGAUCUAGAGACCAGCCACAUCAAUGCGAGAGCUGCGAUUAAAGGAUUUCGCAGGAGGGAUGCGGAUCUUGCCCCCGAGGUCCUGACGGAGUCAGGAGGGCAGCUGCUGCAGGCAGGGGGGUCAGGUCCUGCCCCUCACCAAGCAGGAGCACCGCGAGCGGUUGUAACGCUGGGCAUCUCUGUCCUGCAGCUGAUGGAGAGGUGAGGAAAGGGCUCCCCGGCCUAAUUAAUUUGGAGUGGCCUGAAGAUAAAUCAAGGCUGAAAACACACAACCUGCCUGAGCGCUGAAAUUACAUUCCAGGCACAUAGUUACCCCGUGGCUUUUACAUGGGGCUCCGCAGCACAACCUUGCAGCAAGAGCAUGUUUUCCCGGUCGCUGCUGAGCUGUCAGGUUGCACACCUGGAGACAGAAGGCUUGGGACCUGCCGCAGGAUUAAUUCACUGCAUAUUUGUGGGAAAUUUAGUUAUCUUGAUAAAAGACCUUCGCAGGAGCCUUUGCGUUGUGGCCCAUAGAGCACAGUCUCACGCCGUGCUGUGGGAGCGCCAGGAGAUGUCAACCGAAAGCAAGGCUGUGGUGUCGGUGUGCAGCACGGGACCUGGAGACUUCUUCUCAGCUGACCCUCCCCCAGCAAAGCAUAAGCACAGGCCAUUGGAAACCAGGGAGUUAUCGUCUGAGAAGCGAUCACAGCAAAUGCCCUCCGUGGGUUAAAGCUCUUGAUUGCACUCGUUCCUGCUCACCAUCUACCUGGAGACCUCUAGAGAAGGCGCUGGACAUGCCAACUUCAUUGCUGAAGCUGUUCUGCUGAUAUCGACCUGCAUAAUCCCCCUUCACAGCUGCAGCCAGAGAUAUCAUUAUAUAUACAGAAUGAAGAUCAAAUUCGGUGUUGGUACAUCCAGCAGGGAAAUGUUUCAAAGGACCGAGCUGGCCAGUAUCUGUCUGGCUAUCUUCUCCUUUUCUGCCCAACCUUUCCUUUCAUGUUGCACAUAUCCUAAAGGAUGUUUUAAGCACAAUGCAGGUGAAGAAGUAGUGUUAUUUCAGGGAAAAACAUAUUUUCUGGCCAUUGUUAAAAAUCCCACUAUGGGAAGACGUGACCUCAGCAGCGAUCUCUGCAUCCACUACCUUGAAACCCUCCCAUACCUACAAGCUGGAAGAAACAACAAAUUCUAGUUUAUGUCAAAAUCUAGCAGAUUACCAUAAGCUCUUCUGUCCUUGCUGCAGUUUUACACCGGUGACCCUUUGUCAUUCAAUCCCAUCUGCAUCAGAGACUGAAUAAAGUUGUGCUUUUCUCAACCCGAACA